rnacentral:lncRNA from 1 species
AUGGUUCCUUUCAAAAUGGCAUGGGGAAAGAUUCAAGCCAUCAUUUCAGUUUUGUCACAAAUCUUGGAGGAUGACAAGCAGAACACAGACACUCAGCCUGAUGACCCUGGCUUUGUCUCUACGGAUCAACACAUGCAGACACAAGAAGCUGGAACAGGAAGGUUUCCAGCCAUCAUGUCAGUUUUGUCACAACUCUGUAAGUUUCUUUCUGUCCUCUCUCUCUCUCUCUCACACACACACACACACACACACAUACACACCAUAGGAUUCAACUUCAUGGGUGCUCUUUAACUUCAGCACACAGAAUAUGUACAACAACACUACACCAUCUGUUGACCACCCUGAAUUACUUUCAUAAGUUGACCCCAGUUAGGCACACAUACAUGUGCAGACAUUGUACACAUUAAUGUCUUUUCAUAUUCUAGUGUCAUCCUGGUGUGGGACAUUCAAUGUGUGCAAAGUGUUGUUGGACGGGUAAUAAAAACAGAAAUAGGAGAAAAGAAAAAUUGACA